rnacentral:snoRNA from 24 species
GGCCCUGAUGAUAACGGUGUCUCUUCUUUCCUCGUCCGAUUCGACCAUGACGACAAGGGAUUUUAUCUCGUUCUCUUAAUGCGAGUGGUUUUAAAAGAUAGAUAUUGCUUCGGCGAUAUUUUCCCUUUUCUUACCACUUUCAUUUGCAAACGGGAACUUUUCUUGCCAGUGUUAUACAACACAUGCAGAUCUGAGCC